CAUGUGUAGCGGUGAAAUGCGCAGAGAUAUGGAGGAACACCAGUGGCGAAGGCGGCUCUCUGGUCUGUAACUGACGCUGAUGUGCGAAAGCGUGGGGAUCAAACAGGAUUAGAUACCCUGGUAGUCACGCCGUAAACGAUGAGUGCUAAGUGUUAGGGGGUUUCCGCCCCUUUAGUGCUGCAGCUAACGCAUUAAGCACUCCGCCUGGGGAGUACGACCGCAAGGUUGAAACUCAAAGGAAUUGACGGG
rnacentral:rRNA from 1 species